rnacentral:ncRNA from 1 species
UGGAACUGUAGGAUCUGGUCCUUGCUUCCUUCCUAUUAACUUUGGUAGAGAUGGUGGGACUUAACAUCUCGUUCCCGUAUGACGCAUCCUGUUUUUAUACCAGAUAUGACGAGGUGGACAGGCCACCUAAAAGCUGGAAAAGGUGCCUUGCAAUCGCAAGGUUCAUUAAACCUCAUCUUCUAAUUAGUGACGCGCAUGAAUGGAUGAACGAGAUUCCCACUCUCCCUACCUACUAUCCAGUGAAACCACAGCCAAGGGAAUGGGCUUAGUGGAAUCAGCGGGGAAAGACGACCCUCUUGAGCUUGACUCUAGUCUGGCGCUGUGAAGAGACAUGAAAGGUGUGGAAUAAGUGGGAGGCCCCGUGCCGUGGCCCAGCCACCAGUGAAAUACUACUAUUUGUAGCAGCUUGGAGCGGGUCCAGACAUCAACUUCAUAGAAGCUGGAACUGACUUCGUUUAUUAGCUUACAUGCAGUACAUUUAUAUGAUUCUAGCAGUUAGUGAUGUAAUUACACAGGCUCCUAAUUGGUAGACAAUGAUCUAACUAAUACCCUUACAGCCCCCCUUACUUGUUUAGCUCAUCCUUUUAGUUCAACAGCUCUUUUAUUCCCUCUGACCUUGGUCUACUUCCUUAUCUCCUAGUUAGCAGUCCCUUUGUUCUUUCACUGAAACCUGAAGGCUGAAAUUGAGCAGGCCUGCUGGGCAGCCAUGUACGCGGCUCUCUAGCCAUCCCUCUACAAUUCCCCCUUUUUCUUUUGUACCAGCAAGGCCUGCUUAGUAGUACAGGACACUUCUUCCUCUCAUGAUGUUCUGCAGGCUCACACUUCCCACCGCUAGGGUACCAGCUGUUUGCCUGCUACAUCUGAUGUAUGCAAGUUUGCUUCCAGCCAGGGUUUCACCCAUUUUGCUGGCACCCACCUGGUUCCAGCAUCUGUAAUGAUACAAGCAUACCCUUUUCCCCAGGUUAUCAAGUC